GCCUCCAUAGCUCAGCGGUUAGAGCACUGGUCUUGUAAACCAGGGGUCGGGAGUUCGAUUCUCCCUGGGGGCU
rnacentral:tRNA from 1 species